rnacentral:rRNA from 15 species
UACGGAGAGUUUGAUCCUGGCUCAGGACGAACGCUGGCGGCGUGCUUAACACAUGCAAGUCGAACGAUGAACUCCAGCUUGCUGGGGGGAUUAGUGGCGAACGGGUGAGUAACACGUGAGUAACCUGCCCUUGACUCUGGGAUAAGCGCUGGAAACGGCGUCUAAUACCGGAUACGAGCUUCAGCCGCAUGGCUAGGAGUUGGAAAGAAUUUCGGUCAAGGAUGGACUCGCGGCCUAUCAGCUAGUUGGUGAGGUAAUGGCUCACCAAGGCGACGAUCAGUAGCUGGUCUGAGAGGAUGAUCAGCCACACUGGGACUGAGACACGGCCCAGACUCCUACGGGAGGCAGCAGUGGGGAAUAUUGGACAAUGGGCGAAAGCCUGAUCCAGCCAUGCCGCGUGUGUGAAGAAGGUCUUCGGAUUGUAAAGCACUUUAAGUUGGGAGGAAGGGCAGUA